GUAUGUAUGUAUGUACAUAUAUAGAGAUAGGCAUGCUGUUCGUAUCAGUUAGUCCGAUAAGCAUUAACAUCUGUUAAGCAAGAAGUACCUACCUACUCAUACAGACAUAUACCUCGGUCAGUGGAACAACAGCAACAACAGUUCACAGUUAUAUGUACAUACUACGUAGGAACAAUUGAUCUAUCUAUAUAGCCCGUCAAGGCAAUAAUGUGCAGAAUUUCUGACUAAUUGUAAGGCGAAUGGAAAACCACAACAGAGCAUGAGAGACAGAGAGAGAGAGAGAGAGGUUGAGGCAACUGGAGCAAAUGGAUGUCGUAUUUAAAAUUCAACGAAAUUUGCUGAUUCUGUGCAAAUCGAGCUUAUCGAGAGAUUUUUAUGUACAUAUGCAAACUCUAUAAGGAAAGUGAAUACUCAGAAUUGCCAAACUGAAAGUAAUCAGUAGAAAUUUGUUUUAUAUCAAUCAUCUGACCAAUGGACUUUCCAGCACAAAUACAAAUAAAACUCAGUCGAGAUAGAGUCAGUCUGAGGGGUACUUAUAGUACUCUACACUUUUUCGUCAGCAAGUCAGCGAGAUAAAGCUACGAGGUAAACGAGAGACGGAUGUGAAAGACAAAGAUAGAGCGAGAAAGAGAGAGAGAGAGAGCAAGGUAUAUAUAGAAUUCUGGACAUAAAACUGGGCAGCUGGAUAUGAUAAGCCCUUGCAGGUACCUUACCUUACCUUACCUUAACUCACCUGUGGUUCGAUAAGAGACACUAAAUAACUGGAGCCAGUUAUCGUCAGUUGUCGGCCGUCUGAUGGGUGGGUGAACCUUGAGAUGUCUUCUGGAAAUAACGGCCAAAACGGGGACAGAGAAUACAGAGAACUCUGAGAUAAGUGCUUGGGUGUUUAUUUGGUUUUUAAUAAACUUUGGAUUUAAGAUUCAAUGA